UACGAAGGGAGCUAGCGUUGUUCGGAAUCACUGGGCGUAAAGCGCACGUAGGCGGAUGUGUCAGUCAGGGGUGAAAUCCUGGAGCUCAACUCCAGAACUGCCUUCGAUACUGGCGAUCUCGAGUUCGGGAGAGGUGAGUGGAACUGCGAGUGUAGAGGUGAAAUUCGUAGAUAUUCGCAAGAACACCAGUGGCGAAGGCGGCUUACUGGUCCGGUUCUGACGCUGAGGCGCGAAAGCGUGGGGAGCAAACAGG
rnacentral:rRNA from 1 species